rfam:Turkey coronavirus isolate TCoV-ATCC, complete genome.
GGCAGAUAGGCAUGUAGCUUAGCACCUACAUGUCUAUCGCC